AGAAUCAUAAAACAGAUAUGAACAUGAAUCUUAAUGAGAAUAGAUUAAAAAGAGAGAGAGGCACACAUCUAAGUGAUUAUCUGGAGAGAGCCUUAAACAACAACAAAACCCUAAAAUCAAGGCCCCGGCAGAAGUAUGUUGGCCGGGUCCAGUGGCUCACACCUGUAAUCCCAAUCCCAGUGCAAGGCGGGCGGAUCACAAAGUCAGGAAAUCGAGACCGUAUUGGCUAACAUGCUAUGUGUCAGAGAAUCUGUAUUCCCUAUGGAUUAAAGGAGAAGAUCAUAUUUUGGCUAAACAUAUUUGUAAAAGAAUAUGAGUAAACUGGAAGAAAAAAUAAAAAGCUUAGUGAGAAAAUGAAACAAAAAUUCUGAAAAGCAUCUGAUUUAAUUGGAAAGCGAAAAUAAAUGACAACUCAGGACCAACCAGAGAAAGCCAAAUAUGUUCUCCAAAUCAGUAAUGUGGGGAGCUUCAUUUCUUGCUAGUCCACUUCCAUCUUCGCCAAGUGAACACCCUCCAUUCAGAGCCUACCUAAAGCCUUCCCUUUGUUUCACUGGAAAUCUUUUCUACUCCCCUGCUUGUCUUGAAUUUCUGCCAAAUGUAAGUGAUGGUGGGUAACUCCGUUGAUAUAGCAAGCUCUGGAAAAAUUGUCUGUAUUUGUUUGUAUUUGGUUUGUCUAUGUUUAUUUCUACAUCUAAAGUCCUCACAAAUUUAUAUUCCUUUGUAAUUGACUAUAAUCCAUUGUCAAAUUACAACUGUGAUAUUAUUGUUCUUAUAACUUCGUGUUGAACUCAGUGCUAGAGUCACUUCAUAAUUAGUAUUCUUUUAUUUUAAUUGAAGCUUCAAGUAAGCAUAUUAAUAAUCU